AUAUAUAAUUAUGUGUGUAUGUAUUAAUUGUAUAGUCUUUACUCUUUAGUCUCUCAUCUUCAUCUCUCCUUGCUCACUUUUUUCAAACCCACAACCAAUUUUCCUCUGUUUCCCUUCAAUUUCAACACUCCUUUUCAAAAUUCACAAUUCCAAAUUACCAUUUCGAUCACUUUAGCCUUCAAAAGCCUUUGUUAGCUGCAGAGAUUCAUACCUCUUUCUUCUUCCUCCUCCUUCAACAACCUUCCACAAUUUUCACCUCCAAUUUCCUCAAUUUGACUUACUGGGUUGAUCAAGAACAAGGGGAAACCCUAGAAUUUCGGCACGGCUUCCUCCAAUGUGGAGAUGGCAUCCACGUCCAAGACCAAUCCGGAUCUCCCGCGUGAGUCCUCUGUUUGUUCUAUCUCCACAAUUAUCGCUGAUCUACACCAUACUGAUCCCUCCAGGAAUUUGGCUUCCAUGAGCAUGGAUGACCUGCUUAAGAACAUCUAUUCCGAUGCUCAAACUCACAAUCAAGUGCAGGAUGAAAACCCCAUUAUUGGGUCGUCGAUCUCGCCUCAAGAGAACUUUCCGCUACCUAAGGAAUUGAGCACCAGGACUGUGGAGGAGGUUUGGAAGGAGAUCGUUGCUGGGGGUGAUCAGAGGCGGGAGCCUACUACGGAUCAGGAAAUAACUCUUGAAGAUUUUCUGUCUAAGGCUGGGGCUGUUUGUGAUGAGGACGUGAGGGUUCCUGUCAUCUCUGAACCUGGGGGUUAUGGUGUGGACUCCACGCUUAAUAAUCAGAUUCAGAUUCCGUCGCAGCAGUUGGAAGGUCCCAUCGUGGGAGGAUAUGCGAGUGGAAUCGAUGGGAGAAUCGUUGGAGUUGGAAGAGGAAAAAGAAGGGCUAUUGAGGAGCCGGUUGACAAAGCCACUCAGCAAAAACAGAGACGGAUGAUCAAGAAUAGGGAAUCCGCUGCUCGUUCUCGGGAACGCAAGCAGGCAUAUACGCUAGAGCUAGAGUCUCUCGUGACCCAACUGGAGCAGGAAAAUGCAAGGCUAUUGAGAGAAGAGGAUUUCUGUAUGUGUCGAGUCUAAAUCAUCAUCCAUUCAGAAGUUCUGAGGAAUCAAAUUCUAAAAUGCAGGCUGAGCACAUCAAGGAACGGUCUAAGCAGCUCAAGAAGAAACUCAUUCCAAUCAUCGAGAAGCGACGACCACAGCGCAUUCUUAGAAGAGUGAAUUCUUUAUAGUGGUGGUAGUGUAUUAUUCUCUGGAGGGGGGGUAAGGGAUGAGCGUUUUUACUUACAGUUGUUAAUAAUAUAAAACUGGGUUGCCUGCCUGCUAAUAAAGGUAUAUAACCAAGUUAGUCAUGUCAUAGAGAGAUAUUUGGGGAAUAAAGACACAAAAACUGCCCACCAAGUAAAUACAGAAAGUAGUUGACAACGUGCCAAGUAUGAACUCGUCAUUUACAGUUACUGAAACUUUUGAACCUGAUGUCGAAAAUAGGUGGUCGAUGAUGCUGAAGAUUUGAGCGUCACUGCAUUGCACUCCACUUGUGGCUCUACUAACUGUUCGUGUUGCGUCUGGUUUUAUCAUCGUGUGUUGAAGAAAAGGAAAAAAAAGGAUAAGUAUAGAUAGAAGAAGUUAUCUCAUAAUAUAUGGCUUUGGUUUUCCUUUCUGGUGACAAGAGGGGUUGGGGUGGUGGUGAUUAAUCUGAAUUUCUUUUACUAAUAUAAUUUGUUUUUAUGUAUGUUACUGCAUCCAAGAGCUUUCCAUAUUUGCUCUAUUUGUGAAUGCCUUACAAAUUCCUUUCCUUAUAAAUAAUGAGG